rnacentral:rRNA from 1 species
UGGGGAAUAUUGGACAAUGGGCGAAAGCCUGAUCCAGCCAUGCCGCGUGUGUGAAGAAGGCCUUUUGGUUGUAAAGCACUUUAAGCGAGGAGGAGGCUACUUAGAUUAAUACUCUAGGAUAGUGGACGUUACUCGCAGAAUAAGCACCGGCUAACUCUGUGCCAGCAGCCGCGGUAAUACAGAGGGUGCGAGCGUUAAUCGGAUUUACUGGGCGUAAAGCGUGCGUAGGCGGCUUUUUAAGUCGGAUGUGAAAUCCCUGAGCUUAACUUAGGAAUUGCCAUCGAUACUGGGAAGCUAGAGUAUGGGAGAGGAUGGUAGAAUUCCAGGUGUAGCGGUGAAAUGCGUAGAGAUCUGGAGGAAUACCGAUGGCGAAGGCAGCCAUCUGGCCUAAGACUGACGCUGAGGUACGAAAGCAUGGGGAGCAAACAGG